ensembl:lncRNA
GUGUGGAGUUGUUAGGUGUUGAGUGUGUAGGUGUGUAAGUGUGUAGGUGUGUAAGUGUGUAGGUGUGUAGGUGUGUGAGUGUGUAAGUGUGUGAGUGUGUAAGUGUGUAGGUGUGUGAGUGUGUGAGUGUGUAGGUGUGUGAGUGUGUAAGUGUGUAGGUGUGUGAGUGUGUAAGUGUGUAAGUGUGUGAGUGUGUGAGUGUGUGAGUGUGUAAGUGUGUAGGUGUGUGAGUGUGUGAGUGUGUGAGUGUGUAAGUGUGUAGGUGUGUGAGUGUGUGAGUGUGUGAGUGUGUGAGUGUGUGAGUGUGUGAGUGUGUAGGUGUGUGAGUGUGUAGGUGUGUGAGUGUGUAAGUGUGUAGGUGUGUGAGUGUGUGAGUGUGUAGGUGUGUGAGUGUGUAGGUGUGUGGAUGUGUAAGGUGUGUAGGUGUGUAGGUGUGUAGGUGUGUGAGUGUGUGAGUGUGUAGGUGUGUAGGUGUGUAGUGUGUAGGUGUGUGAGUGUGUGAGCGUGUAGGCGUGUAGGUGUGUAAGUGUGUGAGUGUGUGAGUGUGUAGGUGGUGUAAGUGUGUAGGUGUGUAGGUGUGUAGGUGUGUGAGUGUGUGAGUGUGUAAGUGUGUGAGUGUGUAGUGUGUAG